GGACUACUAGGGUUUCUAAUCCCGUUUGCUCCCCUGGCUUUCGCACCUGAGCGUCAGAGAUCUGCCAGAAAAGUGCCUUCGCCUUUGGUGUUCUUCCGGAUAUCUACGCAUUUCACCACUACACCCGGAGUUCCCUUUUCCUCUCAGACCCUCAAGUUGAGUAGUAUUCGUGGCACUGUGCCGGUUAAGCCGACACCUGGAACCACCAACUGACCCAACCGCCUGCGUGCGCUUUACGCCCAAUAAAUCCGGACAACGCUUGCCCCCUACGUAUUACCGCGGCUGCUGGCAC
rnacentral:rRNA from 1 species